rnacentral:rRNA from 1 species
AUUGAACGCUGGCGGCAGGCCUAACACAUGCAAGUCGAACGAGUGGCGGACGGGUGCGUAAUGUGUGGGAAACUGCGCGAUGGAGGGGGAUAACACCUGGAAACGGUAUCUAAAACAGCAUACCAUCGGAUGUGCCCACAUGGGAUUAGCUAGUAGGUGGGGGAACGGCUCACCUAGGCGACGAUCCCUAGCUGGUCUGAGAGGAUGACCAGCCACACUGGAACUGAGACACGGUCCAGACUCCUACGGGAGGCAGCAGUGGGGAAUAUUGCACAAUGGGCGCAAGCCUGAUGCAGCCAUGCCGCGUGUAUGAAGAAGGCCUUCGGGUUGUAAAGUACUUUCAGCGAGGAGGCGUUACUCGCAGAAGAAGCACCGGCUAACUCCGUGCCAGCAGCCGCGGUAAUAC